rnacentral:rRNA from 1 species
GAUGAACGCUGGCGGCGUGCUUAACACAUGCAAGUCGAACGAAGCACUCUAUUUGAUUUUCUUCGGAAAUGAAGAUUUUGUGACUGAGUGGCGGACGGGUGAGUAACGCGUGGGUAACCUGCCUCAUACAGGGGGAUAACAGUUGGAAACGACUGCUAAUACCGCAUAAGCGCACAGGAUCGCAUGGUCCGGUGUGAAAAACUCCGGUGGUAUGGGAUGGACCCGCGUCUGAUUAGCCAGUUGGCAGGGUAACGGCCUACCAAAGCGACGAUCAGUAGCCGACCUGAGAGGGUGACCGGCCACAUUGGGACUGAGACACGGCCCAAACUCCUACGGGAGGCAGCAGUGGGGAAUAUUGCACAAUGGGGGAAACCCUGAUGCAGCGACGCCGCGUGAGCGAAGAAGUAUUUCGGUAUGUAAAGCUCUAUCAGCAGGGAAGAAGAAUGACGGU